rnacentral:rRNA from 1 species
GAUGAACGCUAGCGGCAGGCUUAACACAUGCAAGUCGAGGGGUAUUGGUUUUCGGACCAAGAGACCGGCGCACGGGUGCGUAACGCGUAUGCAAUCUACCUUUUGCAGAGGGAUAGCCCAGAGAAAUUUGGAUUAAUACCUCAUAGUAUAGUACUUUGGCAUCAAGGAACUAUUAAAGUCACAACGGCAAAAGAUGAGCAUGCGUCCCAUUAGCUAGUUGGUAAGGUAACGGCUUACCAAGGCUACGAUGGGUAGGGGUCCUGAGAGGGAGAU